UUAAAAAAAUAAAUAUGAAAGAUUGUCUUAACAAUAAAGAAAAGUUUUGGUACAUCAUAAAUUUUUCAUUUUGUAAAAUUAAAAUUUUCAAUUAUAUACAUUACAGAUGCAUACCAAAUAAUAGUAUAAAUGUUAUUUGAAAACAUUUUAUGUGGCUAAGUAAUAAAAAACAUUAAUUACAAUUGUAAUAUGAUACACUUAGUUUAAAAUAAGUAUAAAAGUUUAAUAUGAAAAAUAAUUAUUUUACAUCGCCCCGGACCCAAAAAUAUAUUGGACCAGCCCUGACCUGGAGGCGUGUGGCUGGGACGAGAGCGUGAAAGGCGUCCAAACCCGUGUCUGAUCAGUUCCCUUUGAUUUCAAGGAUUUGAAUCGCUGGAGGCUUGCGGCCGGGACGUGCUCGACAAAGCCGUCAAACCCCUGGUUGUGUGUCUGAACUGUUCCCUUUGAUUUCUAGGAUUUGGAUCGCUGGAGGCUUGCUGCCAGGACGAGAGCGUGAAAGGCGUCCAAAUCCUUGGUUGUGUGUCUGAACUGUUCCAUCUGAUUUUAAGGAUUUGGAUCGCUGCAGGCGUGCUGCCUGGACGAGAGUGACAAAGGCGUCUGCACCUUCCUAUAAGGCACAAAUCCUACCUGUUCUUGCUGCAGAGGCUGAAUUGAGUCUGGGUCCUGUUGUAAAGAUGUCGAAGGUGAAGCAAGAUGUUUUCGACAAGGCACACGCAAAGGCAGUGGCCUCCAUUGCAAGAAAGAGGCCCCCCCCCCAGCGCUCCUUUAAAGAUCUUGAAAUUAUACAAAUCACCUCCACGCCUACUGCAGUUCAACUUUUGCGCAUGUACAAAGACAUCCACAAUUUGUUUGUCAGAUAUAACGCUGCCCUGGUACCAGAGAAAGUGUGUUUUCCGAAGCCUCGUGGAGGAAUUUCGGCAACUUUGAAAUCUGAGAUUCUAGAUGAGGUUCCAAUAGCUAUACCUUAUGACAAGCAGACUUUAUAUUUCUUUAUCAUUGAGGUUAUGGUGGAUGCUGAUGAGGUGUUUCAGUUCCCGAUGCGUUUGGACAGUAUGUACUGCUGCGGUUUCCGUUGUAUCAAGCGCACUGAAGAUCCCUUAAAAAAGGUUUGGUAUUCUUUUGAAAAGGUGUCGAUCUUUCCACUGAGGCUUUUCAAUAACAGGGAGAAUCUGGUCUGUCUUUAGCCUAUAACAGCUUUGCAAAAAUUCAAAUUUAUAAGGGUGUAAUUGCAAAGUUCUGUAAUCACUUUCGGCACUUUCGGCCUUGCCGUAAUGAUCCAGUGGCUCAGGUGUUAAAAGACACGAUGUACUUUAUAUUUUCUGAAGCCUCCAGGUUUUGGUUCGCCAUGGGUCUUUUUGAAAGGAAUUCAGAACGAACAGGAUUAUGCCGUUCGUCUCACUGAGCUAAUGGGAGAUCUAAUACAGAGUUAUGGUAAUUCGUCUCGACUUGGAGUAUACUUGUGGCUAGCAUUCCUUGAAAGAAAGAUGGCGUUAUCUGCCAAGUGCCUACUACAUGAUCCUACCAGAUUUCCGGACUUGCUCCUGGCCUUUGACGAAGAGGCCAAAACUUUCUUUAAGUUUGAACCAUUACUCAACUUUAGAGGACCAAAUAAUGAUUUGAGUCUUGAAGCCUUGGUUGGAGAAUCGCUAUUCAUUGUCAAGUACAGCUGCGUCCUUGUUCGGAAGGCGCUGAUGCGUAAUGCAGGCUACAACAAAAUUUUCCCUGUGAUGACGCCAAUAUCUCCUGACGAUGUUAAUUGUUACGAUGACUGAAGGAGCUGCGCUGGAAAACACUAGUGCUGAAAGAGUCCGUCUGGCGAAUGUUUCUCAUGUGUCUUGGGUAGAAGUGACCAGUAUUUUGUCAAAUGGUUCUCCUGUGCCUUUGGAUGUAAAACCGCACUGCCAGUAGGAUUGUAGAAAUUUUGGUAGCAAUUGGGCAACUAUUACCAACCAAAUUUGAUUCCUUGCCUUUGUUGGUUUGGAUGUAAAACCGCACUACGAAUAGGAUUGUAGAAAUUUUGGUAGCAACCUGGCAGUUAUAACUAAAUUUGAUUCCUUGUCUUUGUUGGCUUGGAUGUAAAACCGCACUGUGGGUAGGAUUGUAGAAAUGUUUGGUAGCAAUUGGGCCUUUGUUGGCUUGGAUGUAAAACCGCCCUGCGGGUAGGAUUGUAGAAAUGUUUGUCGCAAUUG